AUUUUUAGCAAUAUUUCCGAUCGAAAUCGGUCGGAAACUAAUUUUUUUGCCCAUAAUUGCACAGUUUUCGACCGAAAUCGGUCAGAAAUUUCAAAUAAAUUCCCUAGAAUAUUGAAAUUUCCGACCGAAAUCGGUCGGGAAUGAUGAAUUUCUAUUUAUUUCUUUAGUAAAUUAAUAAUUUACAAAAGCGAUCGGCCUGCUUUUGAGACCAUUAUUAUUUCGUUCAAUUAAAAGCGGUCAGAAUUUGGUCGGAAAUUGUGAACGAAAAUUCACUAAUUUCUAGUAGUGAUAUAUGGUCGCUUCCUAUCAUUAAGCCAUUAAACACUCUCUCUAACAUUUUUUUCUUUCAUUCUUUAUAUAAAACUACCUCCUUAUUAAACCUUAGUGUAUGUUCUUACUUUUUUUUUCUGGUUGCAGGAGGUGUUGUGGCCAUGCCCUAUCAUUACUGUAUUAACAAUUAGUGCUCAUUCCUUGAAGGAAUAGUAAUGGUAGGCACAAGGAUGGAAUCAAUUUAUCAAGGGGAGAAGCUACAAAUUGACGAUGCUGCCUGGAAAUUUCGACAAAAAGGAUUCUUGAUAUAAGUUCUUGGAAAAGAGCAAAACGGAUCUAAUGGAAGCAGGUAAAAUUAUCCGAUAAUGUUCUUGACGAGGAGAAUUUAGAUGUUGAACAGUAAGUUGUUGGAGACUAGGCAGACGCGCUAGAUAAUGUUUCCAAGCUUCAAAAAUCACAUUGCUACAUUGAACCACGAUUCUUCUUUAUCACGAACUCUGCAAUUUCGGUGGCCGGUUGACAAUGCCAAUGGAAGAGUUGAUUCUUGUAUUUAAAUGUAUUAUAUGUAUUCGAUAAGGCAUAUAUUAGUUUUAUUUUAUAUAUUAAUUUUUAAUUGUUG
rnacentral:lncRNA from 1 species